rnacentral:rRNA from 1 species
UACGGGGGGGGUAAGCGUUGUUCGGAAUUACUGGGCGUAAAGGGCUCGUAGGCGGCCAACUAAGUCAUACGUGAAAUCCCUCAGCUUAACUGGGGAACUGCGUGUGAUACUGGAUGGCUUGGAUUUGGGAGAGGGAUGCGGAAUUCCAGGUGUAGCGGUGAAAUGCGUAGAUAUCUGGAGGGACACCGGUGGCGAAGGCGGCAUCCUGGACCAAUAUUGACGCUGAGGAGCGAAAGCCAGGGGAGCAAACGGG